AUACGCUUUUACGAUUUGUAUGGACAAAAUCAUAAUAUAAACGAGGUGGUACUAAUAGCAUGUUCGUCCGUCCGUUCGACCUGAUUCGAUCUAACCCUCCUGUAAUUUUAGGUAAUUAACCCGCAAAGUUUGUGUUUCGUUCCAGAUUGGGCCUUUUUUAAUGGGCCUGCAGAAAAACAAUACGUGUAGGACACAGGAGCACGGGCUCCUCAAUGCGUACGGUAGCGCCGCCGCCGCCGCGCGCCCGUUCCUCUCUGGCGGCGCCGCCGCCCUGCUCUCGUUCCCCUACCUAUGCAUCUCAAUCUUCUCCCGCACCACCACGAUCUUCAACCUCCUGCUGCCGUAUGUCUCCGAUUUGGAUCGGAGUCCGUGUUCCCCCAUGAUAAGUGCUGCAACACGAAUCCAUGGCGUGCCCGACCCAGAUUUCAGAGGGACUUGGCUGCCAUUAGAAGGAGCCCUCGACCGGAAUCUCCAUUAAAUCGCUUCAUAUCGCAACUUUUGAAGAGUCGUCCAGGAUCGUCUCAGCCGAGUUCGUCGGAAGAAAAUCCGCCGCCCAAGCGUACUACAUCUGAGCCGGAAGAACAUCCCCUGCCGAACAUGCUACCCCAGAGAUCACAUCUUCCUUUGCUAGAACACGUGAGCUGAUUCCGACUUUGGCCUCAAGUUGCUCCCGUCAAUGACAAGUGGGAGGAGUGGGAGUGCUGUGUUCAUGAAAUUGAGUAUCUCAGAAGAAUUUGGUUUGGCACUUAUUUUCCUCAACCUGUUAUUCUUCAAAUGUGCUUCCCAUGGAUUUGAUAAAUUUGGUGAGAUAAUGUUAUGUGUCAGGUAUGGCCAUAAGAUACUCAUGAAACUUAUUUUAUUUUGCCUCACACAAGAUGUAUGUUGUUUAGACUCAUGUACUGCCAGUACUGGUAGAUCGAUGAUCUAAGGAUCAUAUGAAUGAUUAAUGGAGGAUAAUUCAUAUUCA